AGAGUUUGAUCCUGGCUCAGGACGAACGCUGGCGGCGUGCUUAACACAUGCAAGUCGAACGAUGAACCACUUCGGUGGGGAUUAGUGGCGAACGGGUGAGUAACACGUGGGCAAUCUGCCCUGCACUCUGGGACAAGCCCUGGAAACGGGGUCUAAUACCGGAUACUGACCCGCUUGGGCAUCCAAGCGGUUCGAAAGCUCCGGCGGUGCAGGAUGAGCCCGCGGCCUAUCAGCUUGUUGGUGAGGUAAAGGCUCACCAAGGCGACGACGGGUAGCCGGCCUGAGAGGGCGACCGGCCACACUGGGACUGAGACACGGCCCAGACUCCUACGGGAGGCAGCAGUGGGGAAUAUUGCACAAUGGGCGAAAGCCUGAUGCAGCGACGCCGCGUGAGGGAUGACGGCCUUCGGGUUGUAAACCUCUUUCAGCAGGGAAGAAGCGAAAGUGACGGUACCUGCAGAAGAAGCGCCGGCUAACUACGUGCCAGCAGCCGCGGUAAUACGUAGGGCGCAAGCGUUGUCCGGAAUUAUUGGGCGUAAAGAGCUCGUAGGCGGCUUGUCACGUCGGUUGUGAAAGCCCGGGGCUUAACCCCGGGUCUGCAGUCGAUACGGGCAGGCUAGAGUUCGGUAGGGGAGAUCGGAAUUCCUGGUGUAGCGGUGAAAUGCGCAGAUAUCAGGAGGAACACCGGUGGCGAAGGCGGAUCUCUGGGCCGAUACUGACGAUGAGGAGCGAAAGCGUGGGGAGCGAACAGGAUUAGAUACCCUGGUAGUCCACGCCGUAAACGGUGGGCACUAGGUGUGGGCGACAUUCCACGUCGUCCGUGCCGCAGCUAACGCAUUAAGUGCCCCGCCUGGGGAGUACGGCCGCAAGGCUAAAACUCAAAGGAAUUGACGG
rnacentral:rRNA from 1 species